UAACACCAGCAGCCCAAGUGGUGGUCGCGUUUAUUGGGCCUAAAGCGCUCGUAGCCUGGCCGGUAAGUCCCUUGUGAAAUCGGACGGCUUAACCGUUCGGCUUGCAAGGGAUACUGUUGGCCUUGAGGUCGGGAGAGGUCGGGGGUACUUCGGGGGUAGCGGUGAAAUGCUGUAAUCCCCGGGGGACCACCAGUGGCGAAGGCGUCCGACCAGAACGAACCUGACGGUGAGGGGCGAAAGCUUGGGGAGCGAACGGGAUUAGAUACCCCGGUAGUCCAAGCCGUAAAGCAUGCGGGUUGGGUGUAGAGCGUCCCUCGAGGGCGCUCGGUGCCGUAGGGAAGCCGUUAAACCCGCCGCCUGGGAAGUACGGUCGCAAGGCUG
rnacentral:rRNA from 1 species